ACGGGAGGCAGCAGUGGGGAAUAUUGGGCAAUGGGGGAAACCCUGACCCAGCAACGCCGCGUGAAGGAAGAAGGCCUUCGGGUUGUAAACUUCUUUUACCAGGGACGAACGAAAUGACGGUACCUGGAGAAAAAGCAACGGCUAACUACGUGCCAGCAGCCGCGGUAAUACGUAGGUUGCAAGCGUUGUCCGGAUUUACUGGGUGUAAAGGGCGUGUAGGCGGAGCUGCAAGUCAGAUGUGAAAUCCCGGGGCUCAACCCCGGAACUGCAUUUGAAACUGUAGCCCUUGAGUAUCGGAGAGGCAAGCGGAAUUCCUAGUGUAGCGGUGAAAUGCGUAGAUAUUACUCAGAACACCGAUUGCGAAGGCAUCUCACGAAUCCGUCAUUGACGCUGAGGCACGAAAGCGUGGGGAUCAAACAGGAUUAGAUACCCUGGUA
rnacentral:rRNA from 1 species